AGAGUUUGAUCCUGGCUCAGGAUGAACGCUAGCGGGAGGCCUAACACAUGCAAGCCGAGCGGUAGAUUACUUUCGGGUAAUCGAGAGCGGCGUACGGGUGCGGAACACGUGUGCAACCUGCCUUUAUCAGGGGGAUAGCCUUUCGAAAGGAAGAUUAAUACCCCAUAAUAUAUUAUCCGGCAUCGGGUGAUAUUGAAAACUACGGUGGAUAGAGAUGGGCACGCGCAAGAUUAGCUAGUUGGUGAGGUAACGGCUCACCAAGGCGACGAUCUUUAGGGGGCCUGAGAGGGUGAUCCCCCACACUGGUACUGAGACACGGACCAGACUCCUACGGGAGGCAGCAGUGAGGAAUAUUGGACAAUGGGUGGAAGCCUGAUCCAGCCAUCCCGCGUGCAGGAAGACGGCCCUAUGGGUUGUAAACUGCUUUUAUCUGGGGAUAAACCUACUUACGUGUAAGUAGCUGAAGGUACCAGAAGAAUAAGCACCGGCUAACUCCGUGCCAGCAGCCGCGGUAAUACGGAGGGUGCAAGCGUUAUCCGGAUUUAUUGGGUUUAAAGGGUCCGUAGGCGGACUGAUAAGUCAGUGGUGAAAUCCGACAGCUUAACUGUCGAACUGCCAUUGAUACUGUUAGUCUUGAGUAAGGUUGAAGUGGCUGGAAUAAGUAGUGUAGCGGUGAAAUGCAUAGAUAUUACUUAGAACACCAAUUGCGAAGGCAGGUCACUAAGUCUUAACUGACGCUGAUGGA
rnacentral:rRNA from 1 species